GAGAGAUAGGGUUUUAANGGGGUGUGAAAGGAGUUUGUAGUGUAGAGUGGAAAUGGAUGAUGGGUGGAAUCAAAGGCUUUCAAGGGGUGACAGCAAGUAGCCAGUUCAUACCUUGCAUAUUCUGUCUUCUCUAUUUGACCCUUGUUCCUCAUAAAUAUAGCUUUAUCACCCUUUUUUAAUGCCAACUUUUUACUCUUUUUGUAUACCCUUCAGUUUUAAUUGCUUAUUUUAGUCAGAAUUUAAUUUUAAAUGGACGUGAUAUUAGUAUAUUGUACAAAUGUGUAAUACUAAUAUAUGAACUUGAGGUAUUUUUAUGUGAA